rnacentral:rRNA from 1 species
GAAUUAAAUAAAUUAUUAAAUUUUUAAAUUUAUAUUUUAUAUUAAAUUAAAUAAAUUAAUUUUUAUUAUUUUUUAAGAAAAAAUUUUUUUUAUAAUAGAUAAUUAGUAUUGUGAAAGAAAUUACUACAAUAUUUAUAAGAAAAGUUUAAUUUUUGUACCUUGUGUAUCAGGGUUUAUUAAUUAAGAAUUUUAUUUUAAAUAUUCUCGAAUUUAAAAGAGUUAAUUUAUUAUAUUUUUUAAUGUGGAAUAAUUAUUAUAAAUAAUAAAUUAGAAAUGAAACGUUAUUCGUUUUUAAAUUUAUCUAGUUUUUUAAGAAAAAAUUUUAAUUUGUUAAUUAUUAUAUAUUAAAUUUUUUAUUUAAUUUUAUAUAAAUAAUUAGUUAUAUUUUAAGGGAUAAGCUUUAAAAUAAAAUUUUAUAAAUAUUUAUAUUAAAUUUAUUAAUUGUAGGAUUAGAAUUUUUUAUCAUUAAUAAAAUGUUAUAAUUUAUUAUAUAAAUAAUUAUUAUUUAUAUUAAUUUUAAAUUUUAUAUUAAAAUAUAUUUUUUAAUUAUAAAAAUUUAGUAAUAAUGAUAGAAUUAGUAUAUAAUAUUAAUUUAUUAUUAAUUAAUAUAAUUAAGGUAUUUAAAAGGAAUUCGGCAAAUAAAUUUUUUACCUGUUUAUUAAAAACAUGUCCUUUUGAUAUUUAUUUAAGGUCUAGCCUGCCCAAUGAAUAAUUUUAAUGGCCGCGGUAUUUUGACCGUGCAAAGGUAGCAUAAUCAUUAGUUUUUUAAUUGAAAGCUGGAAUGAAGGGUUGAAUAAGAAAAUAGCUGUCUCUUAAAUAUUUUAUUUAGAACUUUAUUUUUAAGUUAAAAAGCUUAAAUUUUAUUUAAAGACGAGAAGACCCUUUAGAGUUUAAUAUAAAAUAUAAUUUUUAAGUUUUAGUAUUUAUAUAUAAAAGUUUUUAUUUUGUAUUUGAUUGGGGUGAUUAAAAAAUUUAAUAAACUUUUUUUUUUAUUUUACAUUUAUAUAUGAGUAUAUGAUCCAUAUUUUAUGAUUAUAAGAAUAAAUUACCUAAGGGAUAACAGCGUUAUUUUUUUUGAGAGUUCUUAUCGAAAAAAAAGAUUGCGACCUCGAUGUUGGAUUAAAAUUAAAUUAUGGUGUAGAAGCUAUAAAUUUAGGUCUGUUCGACCUUUAAUAUUUUACAUGAUCUGAGUUUAAACCGGUGUGAGCCAGGUUGGUUUCUAUCUUAAAUUUUUUUUUAUAUUUUAGUACGAAAGGACCAAAUAUAAAAUUUAAAAUUUAAAUUUUGAAUAUAUUA